UCCGGCUAGAUAGACGAACGCCGAGAAGCUGUGGCGCAUGCGCAAUACCGGGGUUUCCUUGGCCGCCCACCCUGAGCCGAGCGGUGGAGUUGGGGAUAAACAGGCAGUGGCUGGGGAGGUGAGGGAGGGGGGGCAUUCGCUUUUGGGGGCACCUCAGGUGCCUAGGUUUUCCUUUAGGUUUGUUCUAUCCGAGACGCGGGACUCCCGGGGCCCGGCUCAAGUGUUCCUGUCUGGUAAGAGAAGGUAGCUUUGGCGGAGAGCAGUUCAAGUUGCUAGGAAGGUGCGAGACUGCAGCUCUCCCCCAUGCCGGGCAAGUGGUGCGGUCCUGAGCUUGUCCUGGAGCCUGAACAACGCCUGUGAGAAGCCCGCCGAACGCGGGUUCUGUGAAGAGACGUGGGGAAGAUUCGAUUCCGAGAAAAGGAAAAGCCGGAUUGAAAGGGAGCGAAGCCGCUGAGGGGGAGGGGGCUGCCAAGAUGGCGUCCGCCUCCUCAGGGCCAGCGGCGGCCGGGUUUUCAUCCCUUGAUGCCGGGGCCCCUGCUGGUACCGCAGGUCUCAGCUGUCUGUGCUGUGGGGUCCACCGUAAGAGAGCAGCAGCAUCUGGAAUCAAGAGAGCCACAGUAUCUGAGGGACCUUCCGCCUCUGUCAUGCCUGUUAAAAAAAUAGGCCAUCGAAGUGUUGAUUCCUCUGGAGAGACUACAUACAAGAAGACAACUUCAUCAGCCUUGAAAGGUGCCAUCCAGUUAGGCAUCACUCACACUGUGGGCAGCCUGAGCACCAAACCAGAGCGUGAUGUCCUCAUGCAAGACUUCUACGUGGUGGAGAGCAUCUUUUUCCCCAGUGAAGGCAGCAACCUGACACCGGCUCACCAUUACAAUGACUUUCGAUUCAAGACCUAUGCGCCUGUUGCCUUCCGUUACUUCAGAGAGCUCUUUGGCAUCCGGCCUGAUGAUUACUUGUACUCCCUUUGCAGUGAGCCAUUGAUUGAACUCUCCAAUUCUGGAGCUAGUGGUUCCCUCUUCUAUGUGUCCAGUGAUGAUGAAUUCAUCAUUAAGACCGUCCAGCAUAAAGAAGCAGAAUUUCUGCAGAAGUUGCUUCCAGGAUACUACAUGAAUCUUAACCAAAACCCUCGUACUUUGCUGCCCAAAUUUUAUGGAUUGUACUGUGUGCAAGCAGGCGGCAAGAACAUACGAAUUGUGGUGAUGAACAAUCUCUUGCCUCGGUCAGUCAAAAUGCAUAUGAAAUAUGACCUGAAGGGUUCAACUUACAAGCGGCGGGCUUCUCAGAAAGAACGAGAGAAAACUCUCCCCACCUUUAAAGACCUGGACUUCCUACAAGAUAUCCCUGACGGCCUAUUUUUGGAUGCUGACAUGUACAGUGCUCUGUGUAAGACUCUACAGCGUGACUGUUUGGUGCUGCAGAGCUUCAAGAUAAUGGACUACAGCCUGUUGAUGUCCAUCCACAACAUGGACCAUGCACAGAGGGAGCCCACGAGCAAUGACACACAGUACUCGGCUGACACGCGCAGACCAGCCCCACAGAAGGCGCUCUAUUCCACAGCUAUGGAAUCCAUCCAGGGCGAGGCUCGACGGGGCGGCACUGUGGAGACUGAGGACCACAUGGGUGGCAUCCCUGCCCGGAAUAACAAAGGAGAAAGGCUCCUGCUUUAUAUUGGCAUCAUUGAUAUUCUUCAGUCCUACAGGUUUGUUAAGAAGUUGGAGCACUCUUGGAAAGCACUGGUCCAUGAUGGGGAUACGGUGUCAGUGCAUCGUCCAGGCUUCUAUGCUGAGCGGUUCCAGCGUUUCAUGUGCAACACAGUGUUCAAGAAGAUUCCCUGUAAGUGGCUUCUACCAGAUGAUCCCCCAGUGGCUCCCUUCCCCCAAGACAUGGGGGGCAAGACACCUCUGUCAGGGAGCUGCCAAGGCCAGAGGCCUCUCCUGCUCUGCCUACAUCCUGUGAGCGCUGCUUCUCGUCCUUGUGUCAGUCACUGUCUGUCCCAGUGUUUCCGCGUUGCUGCUCCCCCCUGGCUCUCCCUACAUGUAUCGUCGAGUGAAGCCUUCUCCUACCAAAAAGUUUCGGUCUGGCCCGUCUUUCUCUCGGCGAUCAGGCCCCAGCGGCAACUCCUGCACCUCCCAGCUGAUGGCCUCUGGGGAACACAGAGCACAAGUGACCACCAAGGCGGAAGUGGAGCCAGAUGUACACCUUGGGCGUCCUGAUGUCUUACCUCAGACUCCACCUUUGGAGGAAAUAAGUGAGGGUUCACCUGUUCCUGGCCCCAGUUUCUCACCUGUAGUUGGACAACCUUUGCAAAUACUAAAUUUGAGUUCAACCUUGGAAAAGCUUGAUGUUGCAGAGUCAGAGUUCACCCACUGAGCAGUGAGCCUCAGAAGACCUGAAACAAGACUCUGCUGUCGCUUUGAUCCCAAGAUGUCAGCCCUUGCCCCAGGAAUGCUGAAUCGUCUUCUUGGUCAUCAACAGAGGAGAGAAUGUGGAGCUAGCAGGGCUCUGACACUGUCUCCCCUUCCUCUGGGCAGUAGUGCCUUUGACAGUUGAGGACAGCAUCGUCCCCACCACUCCAGAAGUGGGUGGCGUGAAUUUUCCACUGCCUGCCAUGGCUUCUAUAGCUGAAUAUUUUUCAAACCCCCAUUCUUUGUGCUGACAUGGGGUUGCUGGACUGGUGGUUUCCUCCUGUUUACCUUUCUCCUGGAGCUGGACUCUUCAUUUCCUCAGGACGGACUGGCUGGACAUUGUUCCUGCCUUGGCUCUCCCGCUGGUCUUUGGAGACUCCCAAUGAUUUGUAUAAAGGUGUUUGGGGGAAAGUAAGGAUCAUCCUUACUCCCAACCUUCUUUUCCUUAAAAAAGGAAAAAAAAAAAAAAAAAAAACACAAAGAGCACACAAUGUAAAUUUGAGCCAGUCUCAGAUAAAAGUUCUCUAAGUGUUGUAGAAGAGCCCUAGUGUUUGUGAAGCAGAAAGGCUGGGGCUGCCCCACCAGCAGCUGCUCUCUGACUCCCUCACUUAGGGUUGAGGGAAUAGAGAGGGCCUGGCCCUUUUUUAAGACAAAGGGGCAGCCAUGUUAGGAGAGUGGACCUUAGCAGGACCCUACUCACUGCCAGGUCUUCGGUUAUUACUAUUCUGCAAUUUGGAAUGUAUCCUCAUAGUUUUUUCUAGAUAUAAAGAAUUAUCAAAUGAUUUUAGACCAUUCUCCAAAGGAGAUUUCUUUGUUCUUCCUAUAUUUUCCAACAGUAUUCUGCUCUUUGUGGAGCUACGGUGGAGGGAGAUGUUUGUGUCUGUUUAACAGGCAGUCUGUAUCUAUGAGGCUAGAGAAUAUUUUCUUAAACUCCUAGGGAGCCACAGACUUCCCUCUGUACGGUUGUCGCCAUGUCACCUGGCCUGCCCUUACUCUGCAGAGAAGCUGGAAAUGGGGCCACGGAGCCCUCUCCUUCCUCUCAGUUGUGGCCCAUCUGGUCCUGGCUGGUGGGGCAGUGCAUGGUGUUUCAGGCUGGCUGUUGAAAUCCCACAUUAGUUCCUUCCCUGUCCCGUCCCACCUUGAUAGCAGGUUAGCCAACCCCCACGUAACUGUCUAUAUUAGACACCCCCAGCCACCUUCUGGCUGCCUGUCUUUGCUGCCAUGUUCUUUUUUACAAGAAGGAAACAAACAAUUUCUUGCUAUUUUUUUUUCAUAAUUUACUAUUUAUGAUGUAUUUAAGUGUUUUAUUCAGGACAGGGUUCUGUAAGGGGUGGGAGGGAGUAUUUGAGGGAGGGCUGGGACUUAGGGAAAGGACAUGGGAUUCAACAUUUUUAUGGAGUGUUACUAUUUGCCUCUACUUUGUAUUGUUGAAAAAUGACAGAUGCAAUAUAAAAGUAAUAAAUAUCUGGUUUUAAUGUAUUAAA